rnacentral:sRNA from 1 species
ACGGGUAUAACAAGGGCGGCCUGGCUGCCCUCUCGAUUGCUGAAACCGCGGCAUGGACAGACAGACUGACACGGGUCGUUCCCCUGAGUCAGGAAAUACAACGCCGUUCAUCAAUCUUCAGGGUAGCUUAGCUACCCUUUUUUUCCGGAGC